UACGUAGGGUCCGAGCGUUGUCCUGAAUUAUUGGGCGUAAAGGGCUCGUAGGCGGUUUGUCGCGUCGGGAGUGAAAACACGGGGCUUAACCCCGUGCCUGCUUCCGAUACGGGCAGACUAGAGGUAUGCAGGGGAGAACGGAAUUCCUGGUGUAGCGGUGAAAUGCGCAGAUAUCAGGAGGAACACCGGUGGCGAAGGCGGUUCUCUGGGCAUUACCUGACGCUGAGGAGCGAAAGUGUGGGGAGCGAACAGG
rnacentral:rRNA from 1 species